rnacentral:tRNA from 1 species
GGGGUAUGGCUCAAAUGGUAGAGCGCCUGUCUAGCAAACAUGAGACCCUGACUUCAAACCUCAGUUUCACCA